rnacentral:rRNA from 1 species
UACGUAGGGGGCAAGCGUUGUCCGGAAUUACUGGGCGUAAAGGGUGCGCAGGCGGUUUUUUAAGUCAGAUGUGAAAUACCCGGGCUUAACCUGGGGGGUGCAUUUGAAACUGGGGAACUUGAGUGCAGGAGAGGAAAGUGGAAUUCCUAGUGUAGCGGUGAAAUGCGUAGAUAUUAGGAGGAACACCAGUGGCGAAGGCGACUUUCUGGACUGUAACUGACGCUGAGGCACGAAAGCGUGGGGAGCAAACAGG